AAAAGAUACAAAGACAAAGACUCAUAUGGACUUCGGUUACACUAUCAAAGCUUUGAGAAGCAAGAAGAAGCUUGGUUAGUGUUUUGGAAUCGAAUAUGACUUGAUGUCAUGUGUAUGAUUGAGUGUAAGAACUUAAACCACAACCGGAUCUUAAAAGCCUAAGUAGCGUUUCCUUGUUAGAA
rnacentral:sRNA from 1 species